rnacentral:rRNA from 1 species
UACGUAGGGUGCGAGCGUUAAUCGGAAUUACUGGGCGUAAAGCGUGCGCAGGCGGUUUGUAAGCCAGAUGUGAAAGCCCCGGGCUCAACCUGGAAUGGCGAUGGAAACUGGCGAGCUAGAGUACGGUAGAGAAGAGUGGAAUUCCCGGUGUAGCAGUGAAAUGCGUAGAGAUCGGGAGGAACAUCAGUUGCGAAGGCGGCUCUCUGGACAGUUCCUGACACUGAGGCACGAAGGCCAGGGAGCAAACGGG